AGUGAGGACAUGGCCUGUGCCGUGGCUGUGGGCACUGCUGGAGUUCAGAUCUGCCCAGUUUUUGCUGUGGCAGCCAUCUGUGCUCAGGUGUAACCUGACUCUGUCUCACCUCAGCUGCACCAUUUAUCACUUGCUUUCCAUCCUGGGGCAUCCCUGCUAACAUCACCUAGGAUACCUACAGAAAUUUGCUCAGUCAUUUAUAGCCACACACUUCAAGUGUGAGAAAGAGCCAGAAGACACAUAAGCCAUGCUGACAUACUGAGGACAGGUCAGCUUCCAGGCAGGAGCUGAGUGAAGAAUGGAGAGUGGAUGUGAAGCGGAAAUUGGCAGAGAUACCCAGUGACUCUGUGGAAAGACAUCUCAGUGUCUGUGCAAGAGUGCUCAUCAGUCUCUCUACUUACAACCUACCGUUACUGUCCAUUCCCUCUUCGGUUACACUGUGAUCCUAUCUAGGUGUUAUUAUUUAUCAUUCUACCACUUUUGGAAUAAAAUGAGGUUGGAAAAAUACCCAUUGCAGAUACUGCUAAUUGAUCAGGGCUGUUUUUUUCCCCCCACUAAGCCUGAAUUUAGUAUCAAAAUCCUUCUUAACAUA